GAUGAACGCUGGCGGCGUGCUUAACACAUGCAAGUCGAACGGUGAAGGCGGAGCUUGCUCUGCUGGAUCAUUGGCGAACGGGUGAGUAACACGUGAGCAAUCCGCCCCUGACUCUGUGAGAAGCGCUGGAAACGGCGUCGAAUACUGGAUACGAGCUGCUAAGGCAUCUUCAUCAGCUGUAAAGAAUUUCGGUCAUGGCUGGGCUCGCUGCCUAUCAGCUUGUUGGUGAGGUAAUUGCUCACCAAGGCGUCGACGGCUAGCCGGCAUGAGAGGGUGACCGGCCACACUGGGACUAAGAGACGGACCAGACUCCAACGGGAGGCAGCAGGGGGGAAUAUUGCACAAUGGGGGAAAGCGUGAGGCAGAAACGCCGCGUGAGGGAAGACGGCUUUCGGGUUGUAAACCACUUUUAGCAGGAAAGAAGCGAAAGUGACGGUACCUGCAGAAAAAGCGCCGGCUAACUACGUG
rnacentral:rRNA from 1 species